rnacentral:rRNA from 1 species
GAUCCUGGCUCAGGAUGAACGCUAGCUACAGGCUUAACACAUGCAAGUCGAGGGGCAGCAUCAUCAAAGCUUGCUUUGAUGGAUGGCGACCGGCGCACGGGUGAGUAACACGUAUCCAACCUGCCGACAACACUGGGAUAGCCUUUCGAAGAAAGAUUAAUACCGGAUGGUAUAGUUUUCCCGUCAUGGGGUGGACUAUUAAAGAAUUUCGGUUGUCGAUGGGGAGUGCGUUCCAUUAGGCAG